UUGUUCGAGUUAUAAAGAGCAGGAACUUUCAGUUCAGUCAGUCCAGCAGUUCCAGUCGUUCUGAAUCCUUCACUUCAUCAUGGAUCCUUCUAGCCGCUCAGCCGCUUUAAUCAGGAAAUUCAAGGACAAGCCCAAACCUGGAGACCUGAUCCAGAUCUUCCGUGGUGAUGAUAACCACUGGGCUGUUUCUGUUGGUGGUGGAAACGUUGUUCAUUUCGUACCAGCCGGGGACGGUUCAAACUCCAGCGGUGUUGUUGGCAAAGUGUUGAAGCAGAAGCUGCAGGACGUGGUGGAGAAGGACAAGUGGAGAGUCAACAACCUCCUGGAUUAUAAAUACACACCUCUACCAGUUAAUGAUAUCGUGAGAGAGGCCCGUUCACUGGUGGAUACAAGAUGGCAGUACGACCUGGACACGUACAACUCUGAACACUUUGCCACUGAGCUGCGCUACGGCAAGCCUGAGGCAAAACCUGGAGACCUGAUCGAGAUCUUCCGUCGUUGGUAUCAGCACUGGGCUGUUUCUGUUGGUGAUGGAGACGUCGUUCAUUUCGUACAACCCGGGUGGUUGGCUCGUACGGGCGUCGUGUUGAUGCAGAAGUUGGAGGACGUGGUGAAGAAGGACAAGUGGAAAGUCAACAAUCUCCUGGAUCAUAAAUACACACCUCGUUCAGCUGAUGAUAUCGUGGAGAAGGCCCGUUCAAUGGUGGAUACAGAAAUGGAUUACAAUAUGAAGGAGUACAACUGUGAACACUUCGCCAAUGAGAUGCGUUACGGCAAGCCUGAGAGUCGGCAGGUGAAGGACAAACCAGCCUUGGUGAAUGCAGCUUCUGGGCUAUUGGGAUCUUAUCGCUCUAUGAAAAAUUCAGGAGUCCGUCCACUUGGGAAGAACUAGACGAGUCUGGACUGAAACCUGGACCGGGAUUGUUUCUUUCAGCUAAACGUGAGAAAACCGUCAACAUGCUGACUGGGAUUGGAGUCGUGUUGGCCCACGUUGAGAAAAAGAAGACCGCAGCAAUUAGCAGAAACUUCAAAAAAGAAACAAAGUACUAACUAACUAAAAAUAAAAUGUAUUUUCAA